rnacentral:rRNA from 1 species
GAUGAACGCUGGCGGCGUGCCUAAUACAUGCAAGUCGAGCGAACGGACGAGAAGUUUGCUUCUCUGAUGUUAGCGGCGGACGGGUGAGUAACACGUGGAUAACCUACCUAUAAGACUGGGAUAACUUCGGGAAACCGGAGCUAAUACCGGAUGAUAUUUUGAACCGCAUGGUUCAAAAGUGAAAGACGGUCUUGCUGUCACUUAUAGAUGGAUCCGCGCUGCAUUAGCUAGUUGGUAAGGUAACGGCUUACCAAGGCAACGAUGCAUAGCGGACCUGAGAGGGUGAUCGACCACACUAGAACUGAGACGCGGUCCAGACUCCUGCGAGAGGCAGCAGUAGGGAAUCUUCCGCAAUAGGCGAAAGCCUGACGGAUCAACGCCGCGUGAUUGAUGAAGGUCUUCGGAUCGGAAAACUCUGUUAUUAGGGAAGAACAUAUGUGUAAGGAACUGAGCACAUCUUGACGGUACCUAAUCAGAAAGCCACGGCUAACUACGUG